rnacentral:rRNA from 1 species
AUUGAACGCUGGCGGCAGGCCUAACACAUGCAAGUCGAGCGGAUGAAGGGAGCUUGCUCCUGGAUUCAGCGGCGGACGGGUGAGUAAUGCCUAGGAAUCUGCCUGGUAGUGGGGGAUAACGUCCGGAAACGGGCGCUAAUACCGCAUACGUCCUGAGGGAGAAAGUGGGGGAUCUUCGGACCUCACGCUAUCAGAUGAGCCUAGGUUGGAUUAGCUAGUUGGUGGGGUAAAGGCCUACCAAGGCGACGAUCCGUAACUGGUCUGAGAGGAUGAUCAGUCACACUGGAACUGAGACACGGUCCAGACUCCUACGGGAGGCUGCAGUGGGGAAUAUUGGACAAUGGGCGAAAGCCUGAUCCAGCCAUGCCGCGUGUGUGAAGAAGGUCUUCGGAUUGUAAAGCACUUUAAGUUGGGAGGAAGGGCAGUAAGUUAAUACCUUGCUGUUUUGACGUUACCGACAGAAUAAGCACCGGCUAACUUCGUG